GACGAACGCUGGCGGCGUGCUUAACACAUGCAAGUCGAGCGGUAAGGCCCUUUCGGGGGUACACGAGCGGCGAACGGGUGAGUAACACGUGGGUGACCUGCCCUCAGCUCUGGGAUAAGCCUGGGAAACCGGGUCUAAUACUGGAUAUGACUCCAUGACGCAUGUUGUGGGGUGGAAAGCCUUGUGCGGCUGAGGAUGGGCCCGCGGCCUAUCAGCUUGUUGGUGGG
rnacentral:rRNA from 1 species